rnacentral:rRNA from 1 species
GAUGAACGCUAGCUACAGGCCUAACACAUGCAAGUCGAGCGACCGGCGCACGGGUGAGUCAUACGUAUCCAACCUGCCCUUUACUCGGGGAUAGCCUUUCGAAAGAAAGAUUAAUACCCCAUCUCAAGGAUGGGGAUGCGUUGCAUUCGGUUGUUGUUGAGGUAACGGCACACCAAGCCUUCGAUGGAUAGGGGUUAGGAGAGGAAGGACCCCCACAUUGGAACUGAGGCACGGUCCAAACUCGUAGGGGAGGCAGCAGUGAGGAAUAUUGGUCAAUGGGCGCUAGCCUGAACCAGCCAAGUAGCGUGAAGGAUGAAGGCUUAUGGAUCGUUAACUUCUGUUAUAUAAGAAGAUGUAUUAUAUGAAUAAGGAUCGGCUAACUCCGUGCCAGCAGCCGCGGUAAUCC